GGGUGGGUUGUCUAGCUUGGUCUAUGAUUCCCGGCUUGGGCCCGGGAGGUCGUGGGUUCAAAUCCCACCCCACCCA
rnacentral:tRNA from 1 species